UACGUAGGGAGCAAGCGUUGUUCGGAUUUACUGGGCGUAAAGGGCGUGUAGGCGGCUCUUUAAGUCUGGUGUGAAAUCUCCCGGCUCAACUGGGAGGGUGCGCCGGAUACUGGGGGGCUAGAGUACGGGAGAGGAAAGUGGAAUUCCUGGUGUAGCGGUGAAAUGCGUAGAUAUCAGGAGGAACACCGGUGGUGAAGGCGGCUUUCUGGACCGACACUGACGCUGAGACACGAAAGCGUGGGGAGCAAACAGG
rnacentral:rRNA from 1 species